rnacentral:rRNA from 1 species
CUACGGGAGGCAGCAGGCGCGAAACCUUUACAAUGCACGAGAGUGUGAUAAGGGAACCCAAAGUGCCUUACAUUGUAAGGCUUUUGCCAAGAGUAAAUACCUUGGAGAAUAAGUGGUGGGCAAGACUGGUGCCAGCCUCCGCGGUAAUACCAGCGCCACGAGUGGGAACUGUAAUUAUUGGGCCUAAAGCGUCCGUAGCAUGUUUGAUAAAUUUCUUGUGAAAUUGUUGGGCUAAACCUAACAACGUGCAGGAAAGACUGUCAGACUUGGGACUGGGAGGGGUAAGAAGUAUCAAGGGGGUAGCGGUAAAAUGUUAUAAUCCUCUUGAGACUACCAAUGGCGAAGGCGUCUUACCAGAACAGGUCCGACUGUGAGGGACGAAAGCUAGGGGAGCAAACCGGAUUAGAUACCCUGGUAGUC